UACGUAGGGACCAAGCGUUGUUCGGAUUUACUGGGCGUAAAGGGCGCGUAGGCGGCAAUUCAAGUCGGCUGUGAAAUCUCCGGGCUUAACUCGGAACGGUCAGCUGAUACUGCUUUGCUAGAGUGCAGAAGGGGCAAUCGGAAUUCUUGGUGUAGCGGUGAAAUGCGUAGAUAUCAAGAGGAACACCUGAGGUGAAGACGGGUUGCUGGGCUGACACUGACGCUGAGGCGCGAAAGCUAGGGUAGCAAACGGG
rnacentral:rRNA from 1 species